rnacentral:lncRNA from 1 species
GCUGCACUGUUUAAAUUCCCACCAGUACUGCAUGAGGGUUUCCGCCUCUCCACAACCCUUUCUUCCACUUGCUGUUAUCUUUUUUGGGGGGUAUUUUGAGGGCUGUACCCAAGGCAGACAGAAGUUCCCAGACUAGGGGUCAAAUGGAGCUGCAGCUUCUGGCCUACUUUGCAACCACAGCAAAGCUGGAUCUAAGUCUCCACUGCAACCUACACCACAGCUCCAGGCAGUGCCAGAUCCUUAAUUCACAGGGAUUGAACCCACAUACUCAUAGUUACUAGUCAGGUUUGUUACUGCUGAGCCACGAUGGGAACUCUGCUAUUCAUUUGGAGUCUAGCCAUCCCAGUGGCUGUGAAGUAGCGUCUCGUGGUUUUGCAAUGGUUAAUGACGAGAAGCCUCUUGUGUUGUUAUGACCAUUUGUAAAUCUUUGGAGAAAUAUCUACUAAAUCCUUUGCUCCAAUAUUCUCUGAUAUCAACUGUAUAAAUAUUUUCUUAGGUCAGUCUCCCAAAGUAAUAGAAAUAAAAACAAAAAUAAACCAGUGGGACCUAAUCAAACUUCUGCACAGCAAAGGAAGCCAUUAAAAACAAAAAACCUGAAAAGACAACCUAUAGAAUGGGAGAAAAUAGUUGCAAAUGAUGCAAUCGACAGGGGCUUAAUCUCUAAAAUAUACAAACAACUCAACAACAACAACCAAAACACCAAACAACCCAAUCAAAAAAUGGGCAGCAGACCUAAAUAAACAUUUCUCCAAAGAAGAUACACAGAUGGCCAACAGGCAUGUGAAAAAAUGCCUAACUUCACUAAUUAUCAGAGAAAUGCAAAUCAAAACUACAGUGAGGUACCUCACACCAGUCAGAAUGGCCAUCAUUAAUAAGUGUACAGAUAGCAAACACUGAAGAGGGGUGGAGAAAAGGAACCCUCCUACACUGCUGGUGGGAAUGUAAAUUGGUACAAUCAUUAUGGAAAACAGUAUGGAGGUUCCUCAGAAAACUAAAUAUAGAAUUACCAUAUGACCCAGCAAUCCCACUCCUGGACAUAUAUCCAGACAAAACUUUCAUUCAAAAAGAUAGAUGUUCUCCUUAUGUUUAUUGAAGCACUGUUCACAAGUCAUGGAAACAACCUAGUGUCCAUCAACAGAUGAAUGGAUUAAGAAGAUGUGGUGCAGGAGUUUGCAUUGUGGCUCAGUGGGUUAAGAACCUGACAUAGUGUCCGUGAGGUUGUGGAUUCAGUCCUUGGUGUCGCUCAAGGAUCUGGCAUUGCUGCAAGCUGCAGCUUAGGUCACAGAUGUGGCAUGGGUCUGGUGUUGCUGUGGUUGUGGUGUAGGCUGGAAGCUGUAGCUCUGAUUUGACCCCUAGUCCAGGAACGUCCAUAUGCCACAGGUGUUGCUGUAAAAAGAAGAAAUAGAGAAGAUAUGGUACGUAUACACAAUGGAAUAUUACUUGGCCAUAAAAAACAAAAUAAUACCAUUUGCAGCAACAUGGAUGCAAUUAAAAAUUAUCUUACUAAGUGAAGUAAGUCAGAAGGAGAAAGGCAAACACCAUAUGAUAUCACAUGUGGGAACUAAAAUAUGGCACAGAUGAACCUAUCAAUAGAAUAGAAACAGACUCACAGAUAUGGAGAACAGAUUUGUGGUGGCCAAGGUGGAGGGAAGGAAAGUGGGAGGGACUGGGAGUUUGGGGUUAGUAGAUGCAAACUAUUAUAUUUAAAAUGGAUAAACAGUGACGUCCUGCUGUAUAGCUUAGGAAACUAUAUCCAAUCACUUGUGAUCGAACAUCAUAGAAGAUAAUAUGAGAAGAAGAAUGUAAAUAUAUAUGUAACUGGGUUACUUUACCAUAUAGCAGAAAAUGAUAGAACAUUGUAAAUCAACUAAUAAAAAAUGCCAAAAAAUCCUUUGCUCAUUUAAAAAUUUGGGUUACUUUUUUCUUAUCAAGUUGUGAGUUCUUUAUAUAUUAUGGAAAUGAGUUCCUUAUCAGAUAUAUGAUUUGCAAAUGUUUUAUCCCACUCUGUGGGUUAUCCUUUCACUUUUUUUUUUGGCUGCGCCUGGGCCAGGGAUCAAACCCAAGCCACAGCUGUAACUAGAGUCACAGUAGUGACAAAGCUGGAUCCUUAACCCACUGAGCCACCAAAGAACUUCUCCUUUCACUUUUUUCCCCCCUCCAUUUUUGGCUGCCCUGUGGAAUGUGGAGUUCCUGGACCACAACCACAGUUGCAAGCUAAGCUACAGCUGAGCCAAGGCCAGAUCCUUACCCCACUGUGCUAGGUCAGGGAUCAAAUCCGAGUUCCAACACUCCCAAGACACCACCAAUCUCAUUUUGCCAUGGUGGGAUCUCCUUCCUUUCACUUUCUUAACAGUGUUGUUAAUUUUGACAAGUCAUAUUUGCCCUCAGUUCUUGAGUAAACCUAGAUUUACAUGACAAAUUUCUAUCUUUCAGGUGUUUCUUAUUUUUGAUGAGUCUCUGCAAGUUGAAUAGUCUAUAACCAGUCUCAUAACCUUUAAUACUCAGACCUUCUUAUGUUGGUGACUUUGUUUUAGCUUUUAGAAAUUUAUUUUUUUUAUUAAAAAAAAUUUUUUUUUUUGUCUUUUUGCCAUUUCUUGGGCCACUCCUGCGGCAUUUGGAGGUUCCCAGGCUAGGGGUUGAAUCAGAGCUGUAGCCACUGGCCUACACCAGAGCCACAGCAACGGGGGAUCUGAGCCGCAUUUGCAGCCUACACCACAGCUCACAGCAACACCAGAUCCUUAACCCACUGAGUAAGGGCAGGGAUUGAACCCUCAACCUCAUGGUUCCUAGUCGGAUUCGUUAACUACUGAGCCACUAUGGAAACUCCAGCUUUUAGAAAUUUAAGAUCCUGUGAAAGUGGAGACUAAGGCGUGUAUCCUUUUUAUAGCAUUUUACUCACCAUGUCACUGGUAAAAAAACAACCAUAAGCUGAUGACUGAUUGGGGCCAGGCUUCUGGGAAUAAGUUGGAGGUGGGACACAAGUAUACUGAAGUGAUGUUUAAGCACAAGCCAGGAAAAUGAAGCCAUGUCAUUUCCCAUUGUGAUCUUAACUCUCUUGUCUCAUCUAGUGAGAUUUUGGCUCUAUUUACUAUAAGGCAUGGAAUUUAAUAACUAGAAGUGUAUCUGGGGUAUUUGGAGAAGUUACCGCAAUGAAAAACAGAAACUGUCUCCUACCCUGAUCCUAUUCCCUGAUCCCCUGAAAUAUCCCUACAGAGUAUUUCAGUAGUCACCCUCCUCCCUAUGUGUUCAAACAAGACUAAAAAAAAGUAAGACUUCUUACUUACAUAAUAGUGUUCUGUCAGCUGUCUCAUUUGCUUCUACCACCUGUAUAGCAGUAAAGUAGUAUGUCCCCCGCUGAGGGAGCCUGCUUAGGAGGUGGGCUUUCUCAUCCAAGACCAUAUCUUAACGAGUAGGUGGGGAGGCUGGGGCCUCUUUGGAGGGAUGUACUUGGGAUUAUUGGCAAAUAUGCCUUAUUUGUGCCUUAUUUGUUCUGUAUCCUUUUUAGCUCUAUUGGGUAUUUCCAUUUCUAGGUUAGGUGAAUGAAUGUGUUGAUUUCUUUGCCUGUAAUCUGAGCAAGUGGGUAUGAACCAUGUAGCUGAGGCCUGGAGGGUGCAUGGAGCAUAGGAACAGAUGUGUGAGGGAGAGGAGACCUGGGUAAGGACAGUGGAGAAGGUAAGUCCUGUCUGUCCAAAUGCAGGAAUGUUGUGAGGUUUAUGAAAUAGGGCAAGAGUCAAGUAGAGUAUAAGACAGUUUGAAAGUUCCCAAGCUUGUACAUGUAACUCAUGAAGCAUCUAAACAUGAAGCAUCUAAGAUGGCUCUUUUGGCACGUGUACUUGUGAAACGAAGCCUACUUCUGCAUUCCCACCUUGAACAGAGCUACCUGUUAUAAGUGGGUGACAGUGGCAUCUUGGAUUGCUUCUGGCCUUUCUCUUUUGCAGAACUCAGAAUCUUCCACAUAGCUUUGUGAUCAGAGCUGAAUUGAGACUAGCGGUUCUUUUACAGAAGUCAGUCUUGGAAUGCUUGAGAAAUUUCUGUCUGCCUUAUUCUUGAUGGACAGAGACUUUGAGGACGGUUGUGAUGUGAUUAUGUGGGGGGGCGGCUCUGGAGUCAGAUUGCCUAGGUUUAGCUCCAUCUUCUACCACUUGGAACUACGUGACCUUGAGUAUGUUACUGUUCCAUUUCUUCACCCAAAAAUGUAGAUAAUAUCUGUAUCAUAGGGUUUUGUGAGGAUUAAAUGCAGUCUUGUGUGUAGUUCAUCACAUCGUAAGCACGUAUUAAAUAUUAGCUACAAUGAUUACCGAUGCUGUUGUUGCUGUGAAACAACCAAAACAUUAAUUUGGUCCCAGCCUUUAUAGUGAAGUGGGUCAUCGGGUUGGGUAGCAGGAUUUUUGGUGAGAUGUGGAGUGUGAGAAGAAAUAACAAUCUGGAGUUCCUCUUGUGGCGCAGUGGUUAACGAAUCCGACUAGGAAUCAUGAGGUUGAGGGUUCGAUCCCUGCCCUUGCUCAGUGGGUUAACGAUCCGGCGUUGCCGUGAGCCAUGGUGUAGGUUGCAGACGCGGCUUGGAUCCCGCGUUGCUGUGGCUCUGGCGUAGGCCGGUGGCUACGGCUCCGAUUCGACCCUUAGCCUGGGAACCUCCAUAUGCCGCGGGAGCGGCCCAAGAAAUAGCAAAAAGACAAAAA